GGUCGGGGCGGAGAGAAUCGCCCUGUGGCCUCCCAUGGUGUACGGACUCAACAGCUUGCAGGGAAAGCGAUGAGUCCUGCUUGACCGGAAGGCGCGUUACUUCGGUAUUCCGCUGGCUCAGUGACACAUCCCAAUUAUUAUGGGCCAAAAUCCGGGACGACCCAUACUACUGGUCUCUCUUCAAGGCCAGUGUUUACUUCUUAUUGGGGCUGAAGCUGUUCGGAGACCUGGCUGCCGAGUUCAGUUUAAGACGUAAAUGCGUGCCGAGACCAUAAUGUUUGGAUAAAAUAUUUUCCUUA